AAUUAAAACGGCGAAUCUAGUAAUUGAAUGCGUUUUACAACUCACAACAUGUUUCGAAACAUAGCAUGAAAUUGCUUAGAAUCUAAUCCUCCACUUAACAAAAUUUAUUAAACUUGCAAUUCGUCUCGCGAUAACCUUCUGUUUUCACACGAUUAAAACUUAGAUUAGAACGUAAUCUUCACAUUUUAAAUACUGGUUUUAAGCGCUUCUCUAAUCGAAUUUUUGGGCAGGUUAAUGAAUACAAUCUCACGGUUCUGAGCAAUAAUAAUUGUAUUCAUAGAAUGUGUCGUUAUGCACUGUAAUGAAGAUCAAGGUUGCAAAACUGGUGGUAAUUGACUUUGAUUUGUAAGCCAUUAAAUCCCGAAUUCCUGAUAUACUGUUGAUUAUCAUGUAAUAAUAAUAUGGUUGAGACACCACCAAACACAAACAUAUUUUCAAAAACAUGAGAAUUAACUAAUAAAUAUUUACCUG